rnacentral:lncRNA from 1 species
AUAGCCGUGAUAGACGACAUCAUCUGCAACAGGGGUAAAUAAAACCCUGAGUACGAGAAUGUACUCAGCUAGACUUACCCGUCAUAAACCAGAAAUAAAGUGACACCAAGGAGUAUGCAAGGCUGAUCUUUGUGGGCUGGUUUGACUCACCUUUUGCAUAAAAGCCUUUGUUAUAAGUAAUUCAUUUAUCAGAUUUCAGCAGCAAGUUCAUUACUUAGCAACUAUCCACUAGAUUAGCACCUGCUCUAAGCAUACACUUGAGUCUUUAAGCAUUACAAUAAUAACCAUAUCCGGAUUAUCACAUAGCCAUCAACAUUCUCAUCAUAACCAUUAAGUUUAUUUAGUGAG